rnacentral:rRNA from 1 species
AGUGGCGAACGGGUGAGUAAUGUAUCGGAACGUACCUUUCAGUGGGGGAUAACGUAGCGAUAGUUACGCUAAUACCGCAUAUUCUGUGAACAGGAAAGCAGGGGAUCGAAAGACCUUGCGCUGAUUGAGCGGCCGAUAUCAGAUUAGCUAGUUGGUGGGGUAAAGGCCUACCAAGGCGACGAUCUGUAGCGGGUCUGAGAGGAUGAUCCGCCACACUGGAACUGAGACACGGUCCAGACUCCUACGGGAGGCAGCAGUGGGGAAUUUUGGACAAUGGGGGCAACCCUGAUCCAGCCAUGCCGCGUGAGUGAAGAAGGCCUUCGGGUUGUAAAGCUCUUUCGGCCGGGAAGAAAUCGCAUAGGCUAAUACCCUGUGUGGAUGACGGUACCGGAAUAAGAAGCACCGGCUAACUACGUGCCAGCAGCCGCGGUAAUACGUAGGGUGCGAGCGUUAAUCGGAAUUACUGGGCGUAAAGCGUGCGCAGGCGGUUUCGUAAGACAGAGGUGAAAUCCCCGGGCUCAACCUGGGAACUGCCUUUGUGACUGCGAGGCUAGAGACGCAGAAAGGGGGGGGUGAAAUUCCACGUGUAGCAGUGAAAUGCCGUAGAGAAUUGUGGAGAAACACGAAUGGCGAAGCAGCCCCCUGGCCGAUACUGACGCUCAUGCACGAAGCGUGG